ACCAGUAUGGUGUAGUGGUUUGAAUGUUGGACUAGGACUCUAGAGACUUGGGUUUGAUUCCCAGAUCAGCCA